rnacentral:rRNA from 1 species
UACGUAGGGGGCAAGCGUUGUCCGGAAUUACUGGGCGUAAAGCGUGCGCAGGCGGUUCGUUGUGUCGGCGGUGAAAGCCCCGGGCUCAACCUGGGAAUGGCCGUGAAACUGGCGAACUGGAGUGUGGCAGAGGGGGGGUGGAAUUCCGCGUGUAGCAGUGAAAUGCGUAGAGAUGCGGAGGAACACCGAUGGCGAAGGCAGCCCCCCUGGGCUGACACUGACGCUCAGGCACGAAAGCGUGGGGAGCAAACAGG